rnacentral:rRNA from 1 species
UACGUAGGUGGCAAGCGUUAUCCGGAAUUAUUGGGCGUAAAGCGCGCGCAGGCGGUCCUUUAAGUCUGAUGUGAAAGCCCACGGCUCAACCGUGGAGGGUCAUUGGAAACUGGGGGGACUUGAGUGCAGAAGAGGAGAGCGGAAUUCCACGUGUAGCGGUGAAAUGCGUAGAGAUGUGGAGGAACACCAGUGGCGAAGGCGGCGUCUCUGGUCUGUAACUGACGCUGAGGCGCGAAAGCGUGGGGAGCGAACAGG